rnacentral:rRNA from 1 species
UAGGGAAUCUUCGGCAAUGGGGGGAACCCUGACCGAGCAACGCCGCGUGAGUGAAGAAGGUUUUCGGAUCGUAAAGCUCUGUUGUUAAGGAAGAACGAGUGUGAGAAUGGAAAGUUCAUGCUGUGACGGUACUUAACCAGAAAGGGACGGCUAACUACGUGCCAGCAGCCGCGGUAAUACGUAGGUCCCGAGCGUUGUCCGGAUUUAUUGGGCGUAAAGCGAGCGCAGGCGGUUAGAAAAGUCUGAAGUGAAAGGCGGUGGCUCAACCAUUGUAGGCUUUGGAAACUGUUUAACUUGAGUGCAGAAGGGGAGAGUGGAAUUCCAUGUGUAGCGGUGAAAUGCGUAGAUAUAUGGAGGAACACCGGUGGCGAAAGCGGCUCUCUGGUCUGUAACUGACGCUGAGGCUCGAAAGCGUGGGGAGCGAACAGG